rnacentral:rRNA from 1 species
GACGAACGCUGGCGGCGUGCUUAACACAUGCAAGUCGAACGGAAAGGCCCUGCUUUUGUGGGGUGCUCGAGUGGCGAACGGGUGAGUAACACGUGAGUAACCUGCCCUUGACUUUGGGAUAACUUCAGGAAACUGGGGCUAAUACCGGAUAGGAGCUCCUGCUGCAUGGUGGGGGUUGGAAAGUUUCGGCGGUUGGGGAUGGACUCGCGGCUUAUCAGCUGGUUGGUGGGGUAGUGGCUUACCAAGGCUUUGACGGGUAGCCGGCCUGGGAGGGUGACCGGCCACAUGGGGACUGAGAUACGGCCCAGACUCCUGCGGGAGGCAGCGGUGGGGAAUAUUGCACAAUGGGCGGAAGCCUGAUGCAGCAACGCCGCGUGCGGGAUGACGGCCUUCGGGUUGUAAACCGCUUUCGCCUGUGACGAAGCGUGAGUGACGGGAAUGGGUAAAGAAGCACCGGCUAACUACGU